rfam:Oryza rufipogon genomic scaffold, chr01
AAAAAGGCAAACCCUGGGUUUUCGUGUCCAACUUUGACUGUCCGUCUUAUAUGAAAUUUUUUUAUAAUUCGUAUUUUCAUUGUUGUUAGAUGAUAAAACAUGAUUAAUAUUUUAUGCGUGACUUGUCUUUUUAAUUUUUUUUAUAGUUUUUUCAAAUAAGACGGGCGGUCAAAUGUUGGGCACGGAAACUAAAGUUUGUCUUUUUU